rnacentral:rRNA from 1 species
GUGGGGAUCUUUCCAAUGGACGCAGUCUGAUGAAGCAACGCCGCGUGAGUGAGGAAGGCCUUUUAGGUUGUAAAGCUCUGUUGCCGGGGAAGAAGGUUAGUGUAAGGAAAUGUGCAUUAAUUGACGGUACCUGGUGAGGAAGCACUGGCUAACUACGUGCCAGCAGCCGCGGUAACACNGUAGAGUGCAAGCGUUGUCCGGAAUCAUUGGGCGUAAAGGGUACGCAGGCGGAUAUACAAGUCAAAUGUGAAAGGUGUAGGCUUAACCUACAGACUGCGUUUGAAACUGUAUAUCUUGAGAGCAGCAGAGGAAGGCGGAAUUCCUGGUGUAGUGGUGAAAUACGUAGAUAUCAGGAAGAACACCAGUGGCGAAGGCGGUCUUCUGGGCUGCAUCUGACGCUCAUGUACGAAAGCUGGGGUAGCGAACGGGAUUAGAUACCCCGGUAGUCCCAGCUGUAAACGAUGGACACUAGGUGUUGGCGGUUCGAAUCCGUCAGUGCCGGAGUUAACGCAUUAAGUGUCCCGCCUGGGGAAUACGGUCGCAAGACUGAAACUCAAAGGAAUUGACGGGGGCCCGCACAAGCGGUGGAGCAUGUGGUUUAAUUCGAUGCAACGCGAANAACCUUACCGAGAAUUGACAUCCCGUGACUACCUGNGAGAGCAGGGUUNGGUNCUUANUAUCACACGGAGACA